rnacentral:rRNA from 1 species
GAGUAGGGCGGGACACGUGGUAUCCUGUCUGAAUAUGGGGGGACCAUCCUCCAAGGCUAAAUACUCCUGACUGACCGAUAGUGAACCAGUACCGUGAGGGAAAGGCGAAAAGAACCCCGGCGAGGGGAGUGAAAAAGAACCUGAAACCGUGUACGUACAAGCAGUGGGAGCACGCUUAGGCGUGUGACUGCGUACCUUUUGUAUAAUGGGUCAGCGACUUAUAUUCUGUAGCAAGGUUAACCGAAUAGGGGAGCCGAAGGGAAACCGAGUCUUAACUGGGCGUUAAGUUGCAGGGUAUAGACCCGAAACCCGGUGAUCUAGCCAUGGGCAGGUUGAAGGUUGGGUAACACUAACUGGAGGACCGAACCGACUAAUGUUGAAAAAUUAGCGGAUGACUUGUGGCUGGGGGUGAAAGGCCAAUCAAACCGGGAGAUAGCUGGUUCUCCCCGAAAGCUAUUUAGGUAGCGCCUCGUGAAUUCAUCUCCGGGGGUAGAGCACUGUUUCGGCAAGGGGGUCAUCCCGACUUACCAACCCGAUGCAAACUGCGAAUACCGGAGAAUGUUAUCACGGGAGACACACGGCGGGUGCUAACGUCCGUCGUGAAGAGGGAAACAACCCAGACCGCCAGCUAAGGUCCCAAAGUCAUGGUUAAGUGGGAAACGAUGUGGGAAGGCCCAGACAGCCAGGAUGUUGGCUUAGAAGCAGCCAUCAUUUAAAGAAAGCGUAAUAGCUCACUGGUCGAGUCGGCCUGCGCGGAAGAUGUAACGGGGCUAAACCAUGCACCGAAGCUGCGGCAGCGACGCUUAUGCGUUGUUGGGUAGGGGAGCGUUCUGUAAGCCUGCGAAGGUGUGCUGUGAGGCAUGCUGGAGGUAUCAGAAGUGCGAAUGCUGACAUAAGUAACGAUAAAGCGGGUGAAAAGCCCGCUCGCCGGAAGACCAAGGGUUCCUGUCCAACGUUAAUCGGGGCAGGGUGAGUCGACCCCUAAGGCGAGGCCGAAAGGCGUAGUCGAUGGGAAACAGGUUAAUAUUCCUGUACUUGGUGUUACUGCGAAGGGGGGACGGAGAAGGCUAUGUUGGCCGGGCGACGGUUGUCCCGGUUUAAGCGUGUAGGCUGGUUUUCCAGGCAAAUCCGGAAAAUCAAGGCUGAGGCGUGAUGACGAGGCACUACGGUGCUGAAGCAACAAAUGCCCUGCUUCCAGGAAAAGCCUCUAAGCAUCAGGUAACAUCAAAUCGUACCCCAAACCGACACAGGUGGUCAGGUAGAGAAUACCAAGGCGCUUGAGAGAACUCGGGUGAAGGAACUAGGCAAAAUGGUGCCGUAACUUCGGGAGAAGGCACGCUGAUAUGUAGGUGAAGCGACUUGCUCGUGGAGCUGAAAUCAGUCGAAGAUACCAGCUGGCUGCAACUGUUUAUUAAAAACACAGCACUGUGCAAACACGAAAGUGGACGUAUACGGUGUGACGCCUGCCCGGUGCCGGAAGGUUAAUUGAUGGGGUUAGCGCAAGCGAAGCUCUUGAUCGAAGCCCCGGUAAACGGCGGCCGUAACUAUAACGGUCCUAAGGUAGCGAAAUUCCUUGUCGGGUAAGUUCCGACCUGCACGAAUGGCGUAAUGAUGGCCAGGCUGUCUCCACCCGAGACUCAGUGAAAUUGAACUCGCUGUGAAGAUGCAGUGUACCCGCGGCAAGACGGAAAGACCCCGUGAACCUUUACUAUAGCUUGACACUGAACAUUGAGCCUUGAUGUGUAGGAUAGGUGGGAGGCUUUGAAGUGUGGACGCCAGUCUGCAUGGAGCCGACCUUGAAAUACCACCCUUUAAUGUUUGAUGUUCUAACGUUGACCCGUAAUCCGGGUUGCGGACAGUGUCUGGUGGGUAGUUUGACUGGGGCGGUCUCCUCCUAAAGAGUAACGGAGGAGCACGAAGGUUGGCUAAUCCUGGUCGGACAUCAGGAGGUUAGUGCAAUGGCAUAAGCCAGCUUGACUGCGAGCGUGACGGCGCGAGCAGGUGCGAAAGCAGGUCAUAGUGAUCCGGUGGUUCUGAAUGGAAGGGCCAUCGCUCAACGGAUAAAAGGUACUCCGGGGAUAACAGGCUGAUACCGCCCAAGAGUUCAUAUCGACGGCGGUGUUUGGCACCUCGAUGUCGGCUCAUCACAUCCUGGGGCUGAAGUAGGUCCCAAGGGUAUGGCUGUUCGCCAUUUAAAGUGGUACGCGAGCUGGGUUUAGAACGUCGUGAGACAGUUCGGUCCCUAUCUGCCGUGGGCGCUGGAGAACUGAGGGGGGCUGCUCCUAGUACGAGAGGACCGGAGUGGACGCAUCACUGGUGUUCGGGUUGUCAUGCCAAUGGCACUGCCCGGUAGCUAAAUGCGGAAGAGAUAAGUGCUGAAAGCAUCUAAGCACGAAACUUGCCCCGAGAUGAGUUCUCCCUGACUCCUUGAGAGUCCUGAAGGAACGUUGAAGACGACGACGUUGAUAGGCCGGGUGUGUAAGCGCAGCGAUGCGUUGAGCUAACCGGUACUAAUGAACCGUGAGGCUUAACCUU